GGGCGAGAAAUGGAAUUUUUCAUCAAGAGAGUGAAAGUGAGCAAGAGUUUAGUAGCAAAUAAGGAGAUUUUAGGGCUAGAAUAUGAGUUGUAGAGAAGGUAGAAAGAGCUUCUGAAGAGGUGCUCUUCAUCCAGGAAAAAGAGAGAAUCAGGUAAAAGGAGUUAACCUUUCUUUGUUUUUAUUUUGAAAUAAGUAUUUAU
rnacentral:lncRNA from 1 species